rnacentral:lncRNA from 1 species
CUUUUUUAUGUUUGCUUAAUCUUAGCUGUCAAAGAAUGUUAAUAUGAUACAUCACUAAACUGGUAUUGUGAUGAUAUUUAAAAAGUUUAAACAAUUAAUUCAAUUAUAUGGAUUUAUUUAUUUUUUCGUGGGUAUCAAUUUUCGUGGAUAAAGGAAAACUUGUUUCUUCAUGGAUAUUAAAUUUCGUGGUUUUGCCAAUGUCUACAUACAAGCCUAAGAAAAUUUGUUAUUCUUUGAACAUUUAAUUUCGUGGUUUACCUGUACCAACGAAAUCCACGAAAAUUUGUAUCCAACGAAUAACCAGAUGCUCCGCAUGUGAAGCUUUAUACGACCGCAGAGGUCAAACCCUGAACAGUUGGGGCAAGUAUGGACACAACAUUUAAGCUUGAUACAGCUCUGAAUUUGGAUUGUGAUUAAAUAGUUGACACAUCAUAGGUUUCUGACAAAGAAUGAAUGUGGUCUAAGAACUUAAACUUAAAAACUUAAAAAUUUUAAAUUGGACAUUUACCUAUUAUGGUCCAAUAUCAAAAAUCUAAAUACAUGGUUAGAUUCAGCAUAUCAUAGAACCCCAAGAAUUCAAUUUUUGAUGAAAUCAAAUAAUGUUCAAUUUAGACCCUUUAGACCUCAAUGUGGACCAACUUGAUAACCGGGCCCAAAUAUUAAAAAUCUAAAUAUAUGGUUAGAUUCAGCAUAUUGAAGAACCCCAUUUAUUCAAUUUUUGUUGAAAUCAAACUAAAUUUAAUUUUGGACCCCGAUUUGAACCAACUUGAAAACUGGGCCCAUAAUCAAAAAUCUAAGUACGUGUUUAGAUUCAGCAUAUCAAAGAACCCCAAGAAUUUAAUUUUUGUUAAAAUCAAACUAAGUUUAAUUUUGGACCCUUUGGACCUUAAUGUUGACCAAUUUGAAAACAGGACCAAAAAUUAAGAAUCUAAAUACACAGUUAGAUUUGGCAUAUCAAAUAAUCCCAAUAAUUCUUUUUUUGUUGAAAUCAAACAAAGUUUAAUUUUGGACCCUUUUGGCCCCUAAUUCCUAAACUGUUGGGACCAAAACUCCCAAAAUCAAUCCCAACCUUCCGUUUGUGGUCAUAAACCUUGUGUUAAAAUUUCAUAGAUUUCUAUAUACUUAUACUAAAGUUAUUGUGCAAAAACCGAGAAAAUUGCUUAUUUGGGUACAUUUUGCCCCUCAUUCCUAAACUGUUGGGACCAAACUCCCAAAACCAUCCCAACCUUCCUUUUAUGGUCAUAAACAUUAUGUUUCCAUUUUGCGGUUGUAUAAAAAUGAAUCCACAGUACAUACUUUUAUUAACUUGGAGAUAAGUACAUGGAAUGUUUUUAAUUGUGAAAUAGUAGGUAAGACAUAAAAGAUUAUCCUUCACUUUCAGUCAAAAUGUAACAAGUGAACGAAAAAGGCAUUGACUGCAUGUAAAUGAACAUAUAUAAAACUAUAUACAAUAACCAUCCAUUAACAACAAUAGCAUAUCUAUAACAAAUAAAUUAUCGUCCAGACUAAUAAUUUAACAAGUAAAUUCAAAACAGAAAAGUCCUCUCCAAAAAUACGUCUGAUACCAUCACAGCACAAUAGAAUUGACUAUAAAUGCAAUACCGUACAUAUUAAUAUCACAUAUUUCUCUAUCCAUGAUUGAUAACUAGGUUGUAGAGAUUUAGAAAAACAAGGAGAGGACUACACAAGUUAUACUGUAUAAAUACACUAUCAAUAUCUUAUGGUGAAUUAACAACAUGAAGUAAAUAAUGAACUGAAGUUGUAUUGUAUCAAAUGUCAAGUUCUUUCUUUAAAAGGAAAUAUUCAGUGGUUUUAAAAUUUUAAAUAAAAAAAAUAUACUUUUGGCUUUAUCAUUCAUCUAUUUUAUAAAUUGUCUUGCCUAUUGCAAUUCACAGAAAAAGAAAAAGGAAACAAAAAUUCCCCACCACUGAUUAAUUUUUCAUGAAUCAAAUGUAUUUAUAACCAUAACUUCUCUUUUCUAUACAUCAUAUACAUUUUAAUGAAAUUACUAACUUAUUUUGAAACCUUGAGAGUUUUAUGGUUCAAUUUCAUUUGUUUUGUUUCAUUUCUGACGAACAUAAACAUAUACAUUGUGUAGUAGCAGGAGAAUGUUGAUUUCAAUUUUAGUUAUAUUUCUUGGUGGCAUCAUCAUAAGAUGGCGGACAUGAUGGCGGUGUUACCAUGUGUACAUUAUGUGGUGCAUUGGGAUUAUAAUAUGCACUGGCAGCAGCUUCUCUAGCUUUCUCAUCUGUAAAUAUAAGGGAAAAAUGCUAAUUGCAUGAUGCAUAAGUAUGUGUUUUAAAAUGUAAAUCUAGAUUUCUAUGAGCAAAGCUUGUAAUUUUUGGCUUUUUAUUGCUCUCCC